rnacentral:rRNA from 5 species
GCGACCCCAGGUCAGGCGGGAUCACCCGCUG